UACGAAGGGGGCUAGCGUUGUUCGGAAUCACUGGGCGUAAAGCGCACGUAGGCGGACUUUCAAGUCAGGGGUGAAAUCCCGGGGCUCAACCUCGGAACUGCCUUUGAUACUGUUGGUCUCGAGCCCGGAAGAGGUGGGUGGAAUUCCUAGUGUAGAGGUGAAAUUCGUAGAUAUUAGGAAGAACACCAGUGGCGAAGGCGGCCCACUGGUCCGGUGCUGACGCUGAGGUGCGAAAGCGUGGGGAGCAAACAGG
rnacentral:rRNA from 2 species